rnacentral:sRNA from 1 species
GUCAGCCAUUGGGAACCCCGCCUCGUCGUAUGCUCCUGUGGAUCUCGAUUCUGCUUCUCUUGUGGUCACGAUUGGCAUGAACCAGUGAACUGUAGGCUGCUGAAGUUAUGGCUUAAAAAGUGCAAUGAUGAUAGUGAAACAUCGAAUUGGAUUAAUGCAAACACUAAAGAAUGUCCAAAAUGUAUGAUCACAAUUGAAAAAGACGGUGGAUGCAAUCAUAUGACGUGUAAAAAUACAGCAUGCCGGUUCGAAUUUUGUUGGAUGUGCCUUGGUCCAUGGGAACCUCAUGGUUCAUCAUGGUAUAGUUGUAAUAGAUUUGAUGAUUCUGCAGCUAAAAAUGCUCGGGAUGCUCAAGAAGUAUCACGUGCAAAUCUUCAAAGAUAUCUUUUCUAUUAUAAUCGAUAUAUGGGACAUCAACAAAGUUUACGUUUGGAGGGAAAGGUUUGUUAGAUUUAAAUAGAUUCAUUUAAUAAUAUUCAAAUAUUUUUUAGCUCUAUGCAACCGUCAAAUCAAAAAUGGAGCAAAUGCAGACACUUUCCAUGUCUUGGAUUGAAGUUCAAUUCCUUCGGAAAGCUGUCGAUGUAUUGUCAGAAUGCCGUCGGACACUGAUGUUCACUUAUGCAUUCGCAUUUUAUUUGAAGCGAGAUAAUAACGCCAUUAUUUUUGAAUCAAAUCAAAAAGAUCUCGAAAUGGAAACAGAACAGCUGUCCGGGUUUUUGGAACGAGAUUUAGACAAUGAGAAUCUGGUGACACUUAAACAAAAGGUAAAUUGUUGAUUUCUUAUCAGCGAAAAUUUAAAUAAAUUUUCUAAUUGCAGUGUUCAAAUUAAAAAAUUUAUAGGUCCAAGACAAGUACCGAUACGUAGAACAUCGCCGAAAAGUACUUCUAGACCAUUGUUCCGAAGGAGCUGAUCAAGAACUUUGGGUUUUCAACGAGUAAUUAUUUUUUUGACCAACAUAUUAUUAGUAUACUUUUUGUAAAAUUUUUUUAUUGUUUUGUAGAUUAUUUUUUCCAAAUUCGAUUCUUUCAAUCAGUUUAACUGUCUACCCUACUUGUCUGUAUGUUCAUUUCCUGUCAUUUACCAUCACAAUCCUUGUGCUCUCAGAUGUUUUUUUUCUUUUCGGCCUAAAACAUUUAUGUGUAUUUUUGUGUAGAAUUUUCCAGUCCCACUUUUCCUCUAUUCUAAACAUCCUCUUUUCUAGACUACGGAUUCCUUUUUUUCUGAGUAUAAAUUUUUGAACAUUUUUUUGUUUUUUGUAAAUUGCCAUGUUAUGUAACGUGGUUCUCUUCCAUACUUAUUUGACGAAGUGCUUCAACUGGAACGAAAAAUAACUUUUAUUAAACCCGAGAUUUGAAUUAUAUGCUAGAUUUCGAAAAGUGCUCAGAACUUUAUCCUCUCGUAUCUCGUGCCGACGCACUCUUGUUUGCCUCACUAUCUGCGUCUUUUUUCUGUACAAGCACACAGCUGUUUUCAAUGCGCCAGGUCACUCUCUACUGCCUCGCGAUAUAUUGUUAUUAAUUUUAUCUUUUUGAGAUAAUCUCCUCAUUUUUCCCUAUUCAGCAUGAAUUCUGACGCUGAAAUGAACACGGAAGACGGAGGUUCGAGUCCAGAGGAAUUUGGAGAAGCGGACGUGAGUUGCUUUCAAUUUUUGGGGAAAGAGAAACCGAAUUUCAGUGUUUUUCCGAAGAAGAAGAUGAAGAAAUCGUGCUGGACACCAGUGAUAAUGAUACUUCGUACGCCAAAGAAGACAAAAAAUCGGAGAAUGAGGUUAUUUAACCGCGGUUUUGAAGCUGAAAAUAAUAAAUAUUUCUUUAGGUCCUCGACAACGACUUGUUGGAGGCUGAAAUGAACACGACGAUAGCUGAUGUUCAAGCAGUUCUUCAAGUUGAUCCCGGUGUUUGCCGAAUUCUUCUACACAAAUAUAAAUGGAAUAAAGAAUCAUUGCUGGAACGAUUAUACGAACAUCCCGACACAAUUGCUUUUCUAAUUGAUGCACAAGUUAUUCCACGUCAACAAGAAGUUAUUCCAGCUGGUGAUGCAGAAUGUGACAUUUGCUGCUCCAUGGAUGAACUUUCGGGUCUUUCAUGUAAUCAUAGAGCUUGUGCAGAAUGUUGGCAGGCAUAUUUGACCAAUAAAAUCGUAAGCGAUGCUCAAUCAGAGAUAGAGUGUAUGGCUCCAAAUUGUAAACUGCUAAUAGAAGAUGAAAAGGUAAAUUUUAUAAACUUGAAAUUAUACUUUUAAAUAUUUUCAGGUACUCGCCUACAUCAAAGAUCCGACUAUAAUUGCGAAGUACCGUAAAAUGAUGGUGGCCAGCUACAUAGAAAUCAAUGCGCUUCUGAAAUGGUGUCCAGGGGUUGAUUGUGGGAGAACUGUCAAGGUAAACCAUUCUGAAUUCAAUGGAAUCCAUAAAAUUUUGGCUAUUUUCUAGGUUAGUCAUGGCGAGCCUCGACUUGUCGUGUGCACUUGUGGAUCUCGAUUCUGUUUCUCUUGUGGCCAGGAUUGGCAUGAACCAGUAAACUGUCGGCUUCUGAAGUUAUGGAUGAAAAAGUGCAAUGAUGACAGUGAAACAUCGAAUUGGAUCAAUUCAAACACAAAAGAAUGCCCGAAGUGUAUGGCGACAAUUGAGAAAAACGGUGGAUGCAAUCAGAUUACCUGUAAGAACACUGGAUGCAAGUUUCAAUUUUGUUGGAUGUGCCUCGGGCCGUGGACUGUUCAUGCAAACGCAUGGUAUAAAUGCAACAAGUGAGUUGGUCUCGAUUUUUGAGAUAAUUGAAAUAAUUCAAAACAUUCUAGAUUUGACGACGAAGCAUCUCAAACGGCCAGAACUGCACAAGAAUUGUACCGUGCAAAUUUGACACGUUAUCUUUUUUACUACAAUCGCUACAUGGGACAUUUACAAAGUUUGCGGUUGGAGGGAAAGGUAUUCGAUAAUUCGUAGUUUAAAUGUUGUAUCAAAAAUUGAAUUCCAGUUGAACAAGACAGUUAAAGCGAAGAUGGAUCAAAUGCAGAAUCUCUCAAUGUCUUGGAUUGAUGUUCAAUUUCUACGAAAAGCGGUGGACGUGCUGUCGGAAUGCCGUAACACGUUGAUGUUCACAUACAUAUUCGCGUUUUAUUUGAAGCGAGACAACAAUUCAAUGAUCUUCGAGUCAAAUCAGAAGGAUCUUGAAAUGGAGACCGAGCAACUGUCCGGAUUGUUGGAACGAGAUCUUGAAAAUGAGGACUUGUUGACUCUCAAGCAGAAGGUACUGAAAGAAUAUCUUAUAAAUUUGCAAACACUCUAUUUUCCAGGUCCAAGACACAUUCCGCUACGUGGAACACCGUCGCAAAGUACUCCUUGACCAUUGCGCCGAAGGCACCGAACAAGACAUUUGGCAGUACAACGAGUGAAAUUUGAUAAUGAUUGCAAUAAUGCUAAUAAUAUUCUCGCUUCUAAAAUAACUCAAUAUUCCUCAGGAUUCUCACCACAUUCACAAAUCUCUGAAAUUCUUUGAACCAUAUCAUGUUGUUCCACAUCAUGUUGUUUUUGGAUUAACUCGCGAUAAUUUCAUAUAUUUUCAUAAACAAUAACGGCUUCUUUCUACUAUAUUUGGGUUGCACUACUCCAUAUCUUAUUUUAUUUUCAAAUGUGAUUGCGAAAUUGAAAUCAUGAAAUGUGAAUUAUUUCACAAUAUAUUUACUUUCUCAUACUGUCAUUGUUAUUUAUCGAUUGUCUAUUUUACAGCCUGCUGGGCACUCUCAGCAGGCUCUCGCAGUCAUCGAUUACCUACUGCGCAUCUUUAAAUCUCAUUCUCUUCAUUUUCCGGUUCAAUUGCCAGUUGAACCGAAAACUUGAAUUAGUGCAAUGGACUGUGGUGUCAUUGCUCAGUUUUAUCUUGAAAAAAAGUUUUAUGCUAAUUUUUCUUUUACUUAAUAAUUUUAGAAAAACUUAUAAUAUGCUUUCUUCAAAAAAUCUAACGUUAAAAAUUUCAGAAUGAAUUCAGACGACGAGAUAUACAUGGAAGGCAGUGCUUCCAGCGAAGACGAUAUGGAUGAUGAAGUAAGUCAAACAGUCAUUUAAUUAUUUAAUUUAAAUAUUUAAAAUUUUAUUUUCAGUGCCUCUCCGAUGACGAUGGAAUCGCUCGCCAUGAUCAGUCCGCUUCAGAUUAUCUGAACAAAAAAGACAAGGAUAAUGAGGUAAUGUUACGUUUUAUUACUUUCUUUCCAACUGAACCGUUUUCAGGUGCUUGACCACGAUUCAUUGGAAGCUGAAAUGAAGAAAGCAAUUUCAGAAGUAGAAGCAGUUCUUCAAGUGAAAACCGGCGUUUGUCGGAUUCUUCUACACAAAUACAAAUGGAAUAAAGAAUCGUUGUUGGAACGAUUCUACGAACAUCCCGACACAAUUGCUUUUCUAAUUGAUGCACAAGUUAUUCCACGUCAACAAGAAGUUAUUCCAGCUGGUGAUGCAGAAUGUGACAUUUGCUGCUCCAUGGAUGAACUUUCGGGUCUUUCAUGUAAUCAUAGAGCUUGUGCAGAAUGUUGGCAGGCAUAUUUGACCAAUAAAAUCGUAAGCGAUGCUCAAUCCGAAAUAGAAUGUAUGGCUCCAAAUUGUAAACUGCUAAUAGAAGAUGAAAAGGUAAUUGAAUAUUCGAUUAAUAGCUCAAAACACUAUUUUUGUAUUUUCAGGUGUUGUCCUACAUCUCAGAUCCGACUAUGGUGUCAAAAUACCGUAAAUUGAUGGUAGCAAGUUAUGUAGAAAUCAAUUGUCUUCUUAGAUGGUGCCCUGGAAUUGACUGUGGGAAGGCUGUGAAGG